rnacentral:rRNA from 1 species
UACAGAGGGGGCAAGCGUUGUUCGGAAUUACUGGGCGUAAAGGGCGCGUAGGCGGCCUGCUAAGUCGAACGUGAAAUCCCCGAGCUCAACUCGGGAACUGCGUCCGAUACUGGCAGGCUUGAAUCCGGGAGAGGGAUGCGGAAUUCCAGGUGUAGCGGUGAAAUGCGUAGAUAUCUGGAGGAACACCGGUGGCGAAGGCGGCAUCCUGGACCGGCAUUGACGCUGGGGCGCGAAAGCCAGGGGAGCAAACGGG